rnacentral:rRNA from 1 species
AUGACUCUCGGCAACGGAUAUCUCGGCUCUCGCAUCGAUGAAGAACGUAGCGAAAUGCGAUACUUGGUGUGAAUUGCAGAAUCCCGUGAACCAUCGAGUUUUUGAACGCAAGUUGCGCCCGAAGCUGUUAGACUGAGGGCACGUUUGCCUGGGCGUCGUA